GGAGAGGUGGCCGAGAGGUCGAAGGCGGAUGAUUCGAAAUCAUCUGUAGGGUUUCCCUACCGGGGGUUCGAAUCCCUCCCUCUCCG
rnacentral:tRNA from 1 species